AAUACGUGUUGAUUUUCAUAAUAAAACGAUCUGUUGCCUGGCCCUUGUCUUCUGUUGUUACAUCUGCUUCAGAUAAAGUUUUUUUAUUUCGAAAGUAAGACUGUGAAGUGAUUAGAGGCAAUCAACAGGAUGCUUUAGACCUAAGUUUUGUGUGUUGUUGACACCAGUGAGCAGUCUUCAAGGAACUCAUAUCUUUUCUGAGAUUUGAACCAGGGUCAUCCUCAGUACUGUAGCUAGAGAUGUUACCACUGAGCUAUUCGGGUUCUCGAUUGACCCUAGCAUCAGUGAAGCAUCACUGCUGUCAUUUGUUUCUUUACUUAUUCAUUGAAAUGGGAACGAAAUGGUAUUUUGGUAUGAAGCACAUGUUGGUAUACGUGAUGUAACGUUGAGUGUGUCGGUGUCAUGGAUAUAUCGGGUAAAUCGUGGCACAAACUGCAGUGUUCGACUCCUGAUGUGAUGUGUAACCCAUUCUGAAGAUCAUGUCAGGUAGGGAGUCUCACUAGAGAGGUGCAUACAUCAAAUGGUAACGCGAGUGUUCUAUCGUGAGCUUAGUCAGGACAGAAAUCUGGUGUAGAGUAAAAGGCUAAAAGCCUACUUGACUCUGAUUUUCGGUACGAAUACACACCAUGAAAGCGUAGUCAAGAUGUCUGGCAAAUGUACGAGAGCUACCAUGAAGAAAAACCUGGAAUUUUCGGAUGUACCUCAUGAAUUACGACA
rnacentral:ncRNA from 1 species